GAGCCACGGGGUACACAGUCUGUGUGUCUGUUAGCUCACUGAUUAAACCGGUGGAGCUGGGUAGAGGAGAGAGUUGGGUAGAGUACAUCUGUUCUUCUUUCACAUGCUUUUUGGGUUAAUAUCAUCUAAGGCUUGGCCUCCAGUGUGCUAGGUGUUGAGACUCUGGGCUGUAUACAGAUAUUUAACCCUUUGUAGUGUUUCUUUGAGAACACAGAGCAGGGAGUCACAGACAAGACAGUCGUAUAUCUUGUAUUAGGUCUCUAUCAAUGUCUUAUUUUUCCAAGUGUUAAGCAAGUUAUAAUCUACAACAAACAGGUAGUACAAGAACUAUGCAUGACUGGGGGUUACCUGAAAGAGAAUGAACUGCUUCUAGGGUGUAUUAAACAGUACUUGAAAACACACACACACACACACACACACACACACACACACACACACACAUACAUUCAUGUCUAUGUUUCUUUAAAUGGUCUCAACAGGAAAUUGCACUAAGAUAUUGAUCAAAGAAGAGACAGCAGCAAAGAGAGCAGGUGCCUCUCUGGAGAAGUUUGUUUCUCCAGAGCUGUUCUUUAUGGGGAGCUAGGCAGUAAGUGUGUCCUCUCUGGGCAUGCUAGAAGCUCUCUUUUCAGGGCCUCAGCAUGCCAGAGACCAGCCUCUAAGCCAACCCUCCUGGGGGUGUUUCCUUUCUGAUGGUAGAGAUUUGUGACCCCGUCACACUGUCUUGCAGACUUUUUCCUUCUCUUGCCUCUGCGAUAAGUCACCCAGAAAACAGGUUCUGACACCAGGAGGCCAGGGAGUUUACAGGUUCUAGUUUGAAAUGGGCUGCAGGGUUGUUGCCAAGUGUUUUGAAGCUGCAAAGGAUCUUUGGGGUUCUGGAUCCUCCAAGGAAGCAAGACACAGAGAGAGGGUAUAUAGUCUCUGGCACUCCUUGUCUGUGUAAAUACCUACACAGAACUGAAGGCCAGGUGCUUAAACUACAACCAUUGCCCAUCCUUGGCCUGUCCUACCAUAUUUGCAUGGCCCCUAGAGCUAAGAAAAUCGAGAACUAAGAAGAGACAACAGCUUUCAGGCUUUGGUUCAAACUCAGAGAAGCUUUUACACCAAGCCAAAUACCUUCCCUGACACCAAGGAGAUCCUGUCCCUGAGCAGCGCCCUGGUGCUCUGAGGACUGACCAUCCAGACCAGAAGGGAUGGUGUCAUCUAAAGCCAGCCAUGGCUGGGAACAGGCUCAACCACAAUCUUAGAGCCAGUGGCUUACGUUUCAGAAAUUUUUGAAAGGCAGUCAAGAAAUGUAGCCGUCAUUGCAAUUAAAUCAGCUAUAUUUUAAAGCAAUAUGUAUUCAAAACUCAUCACUUCCUACUUAUUUUCUACAUUUUUUUAUUAGUCAUGCCCUUGAGGAAAGUAUGAUAUGCCUAUUACAUCUCUAUUUUGGAAGUACUGUAAUAAUGGUGUCCCAAUGACAGGGUCAGUGACAUUAUGCUGAGCUCAUCCACAGCUGUAACAAUUACAGCAUGGAAAGUGACAAAUACUCCAGGUCAGACUCCUCCUACCCCUAUAGCACCCCAGGUAUUGGUAAACAUUCGCCAAUGUACCACUCUCUGAAGCCAUGAAGACUGUCUAACUUCCCAUAACUCAGCAGUAGCAUGCUUCCGUAGCAUACACAGGGUCCUGGGUUUGUUGGGGAAGGAGGUGGGGCCUCCCAACGUACUGAUCCAGGCCAGGUGGAGUUGAAUGUCCCCUUGGGCUUGUGAGUCAGCAUGACAUUACUCAUAAGUCCAUGGGAAGGAAAGAUUUAGCAUGCGCUCAUGUCAAUACUCAAAGGCUUCUCUCCACAUUCCUAAUUGGUUCAGACUAAGACCAGCCAUCCAGAGAACCCAUUGGCCUCUGGGUGUUGUUCCUUCAGGGAGAAUUGCAGUAAGUUAGCUAUUUCACGCACUUUCCCAAAUGUGGUUUUAUAGUCUCUGCCUGACCCUGGAAUACAUUGAACAGACCAUGUGCUCCUGAUCAGGGUCUAGCUGAAGGAAAGCCCUAGAAGAGGUCCGCUUCCACCUCGGACUAUAACCCCACCCGGCUUUUGGCAACUCGGUCCUGUCCUUGGUUUGGGUAUAUGGGUGUUAGGCGUUGUAUUCUUUCUCUUUUCUAUAUUUAGUGCUCUGUCUGCUGUCCCACUGUGUGGUCCAGUCCCCCUGUUGUAGUGUAUAUCUGUGCUGCAUGUGUGACCCUCAGUAACUCCCAUGUCAGCUUUCUGGAGUCUCCAUCAAGUUCUGCUGACCCUGCUGUGAACUCAUCUUUCUGGUAUGCUCCUUUGUGUCUCAUUUCUGAUUGCCAAAAUGUUGGGCCAAGUGCAUCUUCACUAAAAGUCCCGAGACGGCCAUGUGUAUCCUUGUGACAGGGCAUGCUCUGUGUGGGAUGGCUCGUGUGCAGCGUAGAUCUAUCACAUGUGGAAGUGUGUAUACAUUUAUAUGCCAGAUAACUAUCAUUCAUGUAACAGCUGCAAAGGUAUUUAAUGUACAUCAGAUUAAUAAAAGAGCAUUUUUUGCUCCAUUAUAUUCAAAUAAAGAUGGCCGUGUGACUGACA
rnacentral:lncRNA from 1 species